GUUGGCCAUCAUUUUCAUUCUUCAAUGUUUGCAUCUCUGGUAGAAAUAAAAGCUGUUGGUGACAUUCCAACAGUCUCUCUUAAACCAGAAAUUGUUUGGUUAUCUUUGGAACGCGAUAUUCCUUUCACCACGUCUGCAAAACUCGAAGAGUUUUCAAGUUUGAUUACCUUUUUAAUGUUAAUCUCAAUCUGGAUUAAAUUGACUGAAUUGGAAGUACUAUUUUCCUCCAUAAGCCUUUUGGAAGAUAUUUGUUUGGAUUCAGUGACCUCCAUCAUCCUCUUGCUAGAAUUAUCCUCAACAAUCAAUUUCACAAUUGCAGUAGCUCAUACGACCUUUUUGUGGAAUCAUUGUUCUCUAGCUCACUCUUGCUGGGAUUCUCUCCAACCAUCUUCGCUGGUAUUAUUUCUUUUCCUUUUUAUCCUUUCUGAAUUUUGUUACUUGCUUUAUGUGUUUUGUUUUGCACUUGUUCUGUAGCUGUUCAUUAUUGAUCCUUGAAACUUCUUCUUCUGGAAUUGAAUGAUGUUUCUCCAAUAUUGACCAGCUUAAUGAGAAGCUGUUUCCACUCAUUGGUGCUUUAGUG